rnacentral:rRNA from 1 species
UACGUAGGGUGCAAGCGUUGUCCGGAAUUAUUGGGCGUAAAGAGCUCGUAGGCGGUUUGUCGCGUCUGCUGUGAAAACUCGGGGCUCAACUCCGAGCUUGCAGUGGGUACGGGCAGACUAGAGUCAGGUAGGGGAGAACGGAAUUCCUGGUGUAGCGGUGAAAUGCGCAGAUAUCAGGAGGAACACCGGUGGCGAAGGCGGUUCUCUGGGCCUGUACUGACGCUGAGGAGCGAAAGCGUGGGGAGCGAACAGG